UUUAAAUAGAAAAUGUUAAACUAAUUUCCACAGUGGCUUCAUGUGUUCAAAUCCCCAUCAACUGCGAACCAUCUAGCUUCGUGAGUUUUGCUGUCAACAACUAGAGGGUACACGAAUCUCUCGGUAAUUACAGAGCUAGCCUCCUGAACGACUUCCAUGAUUAAAAAAUUUCAUCAUCAAAGGUACCCUAAGAAGCAAGAAGUUCAGCUAUAUGGUGGAUCAAGACAAUUAUUAAACUCAGGAAAGAAUGAAAUUAA
rnacentral:lncRNA from 1 species